rnacentral:sRNA from 1 species
CCGUUUCAAUCUGUUGGGGGCAAAUAAAAUGCACAUGGGCGUCAAUUCCCCCCGCCGUUAAAAUCAUUCCUUCCCCGGCGAUCGCCUCGGUGCUGGGGCCAAUGAUUAUGGAAACAUUGUCUUGGAUAUGGGGGUUGCCUGCCUUACCAAUGGCGUAAAUGCGACCGUUCUUAAUGCCCACAUCAGCUUUGACAAUGCCCCACCAAUCCAAAAUCAACGCAUUGGUGAUCACCACAUCCACCGCCCCUUCUGCCCUGCUUAAAGGGGAUUGCCCCAUGCCAUCCCGA